rnacentral:lncRNA from 1 species
GUCGGAGCCUGAGGAACUGUGAAAAAGAGAGUUUCUUGUACAAUACAGGGGUGGAAAGAACUACACAGGAGUUGAAAAUCUGCAUCACCUGUAAAUGUAGUGGUUUAUGUCAAGAAAUCGCGAAGUAUUGGAAGUUAUUGAAGGCUGACGGGGAGGGGUAAGAUUAACCUUCGUCAGGAGACAAGGACAAGACUUGGAAACCACGCAACAGAGGGCUUUUAUCCCCAGAGAUUUCAGAACCCCAUCUGGAAAGCCCAAGACCCUGCCAAUGGGUGCCCCAGUUCCUCUCUGGGCAUUGGCAUUUAUCAAGAGUGUCUGGAUCUGUUAUUAAUUAUGGAUCAAUAAUACAUUCCUUUUCAAAAUCCCUAAAUAAACCUGCUAUCUGUUAAUCUAAAUAUAGAUGCUGGAAGAGCAGUCUGAAGCGUAC